rnacentral:rRNA from 1 species
CAGCAGCCGCGGGAAUACGGAGGGUGCAAGCGUUAUCCGGAUUUAUUGGGUUUAAACGGUCCGUAGGCGGAUCUGUAAGUCAGUGGUGAAAUCUCACAGCUUAACUGUGAAACUGCCAUUGAUACUGCAGGUCUUGAGUAAAUUUGAAGUGGCUGGAAUAAGUAGUGUAGCGGUGAAAUGCAUAGAUAUUACUUAGAACACCAAUUGCGAAGGCAGGUCACUAAGAUUUAACUGACGCUGAUGGACGAAAGCGUGGGUAGCGAACAGGAUUAGAUACCCCGGUAGUCCCUGUCUCUUAUAC